rnacentral:rRNA from 1 species
UACGUAGGUGGCAAGCGUUAUCCGGAAUUAUUGGGCGUAAAGCGCGCGCAGGUGGUUUCUUAAGUCUGAUGUGAAAGCCCACGGCUCAACCGUGGAGGGUCAUUGGAAACUGGGAGACUUGAGUGCAGAAGAGGAAAGUGGAAUUCCAUGUGUAGCGGUGAAAUGCGUAGAUAUCUGGAGGAACACCGGUGGCGAAGGCGGCAUUCUGGACUGCAACUGACACUGAAGAACGAAAGCCAGGGGAGCAAACGGG